rnacentral:tRNA from 1 species
AACACUGCGCCGGUAUGAACGGAUUAUAUUGAUGUUAUAAAUUAUAAGAAUCUUCUUCUGUGUUU